rnacentral:rRNA from 1 species
AGUGAACGCUGGCGGUAGGCCUAACACAUGCAAGUCGAACGGCAGCACAGUAAGAGCUUGCUCUUACGGGUGGCGAGUGGCGGACGGGUGAGGAAUACAUCGGAAUCUACUUUUUCGUGGGGGAUAACGUAGGGAAACUUACGCUAAUACCGCAUACGACCUACGGGUGAAAGCAGGGGAUCUUCGGACCUUGCGCGAUUGAAUGAGCCGAUGUCGGAUUAGCUAGUUGGCGGGGUAAAGGCCCACCAAGGCGACGAUCCGUAGCUGGUCUGAGAGGAUGGUCAGCCACACUGGAACGGAGACACGGUCCAGACGCCUACGGGAGGCAGCAGUGGGGAAUAUUGGACAAUGGGCGCAAGCCUGAUCCAGCCAUACCGCGUGGGUGAAGAAGGCCUUCGGGUUGUAAAGCCCUUUUGUUGGGAAAGAAAAGCAGCAGGUUAAUACCCCGCUGUUCUGACGGUACCCAAAGAAUAAGCACCGGCUAACUUCGUG